ensembl:lncRNA
GUCCGUGUGCCGGAGGUGCGAGAACCCAUGCGAGGGCGGCGCAGGGGUUGGGGUUGGUAAUGAAACACGUUCCUGGUCUCAGGAAAAAUGCUCAGCCCUCCACUGCCCACCAGGCACCCCCAGCACAGAUACACCUAGAGCCCACUCGGCCAGCAUUUUUGACCCUGAGGGGCUUCUCAUUCAGUGUAUUAAUUCCUUCCAUGUAUUCCUCAAACACGGAGGACCCCUUACAGCAUUUAGUGGCUGGGGGCCAGAUGUUGAGAAUGCCCUAGUGUCUUGCCAGUAAGACUGGAGUUCCUCUCUGGGGCAUCCCUGUUCAGUGGGUAAGGCAGGCACAGAAAGCAUGAUGGAAAUAGCCCUGGAAAGUAAGCAGGGUGCUAAGGGGAGUGGAUGGUGAACUGUCCAAGCCUUGAAGAGUGGGUGGGGUGGAGUUCUGUGUGCCCCUGCCUCUCCUGGAGGCUUCCUAUACCCCCACCUUGGGCACUGCUGGAGCCCCAUCCUGUCCUUUAUACCUCGGCUCAAGUGAAAAGGCAGGUAAAGGGGUCUCAGAAUUGAGCUGGGAGGAUAUUGUGUGGGUGGGGAUUAAUUCCAACUGCUGUCAUUGGCAGGGGCAAGGCAAUGCAUUCAGUUAACAAGCAUGUGUUGAGCACCUACUGUGCACCUGGCAUUGUGCUAGCUGCUGGGAACACAGCAGUGAAUAAGGCAGACAAGCUUCUCUGUUCUUGGGGCUGACAUUCCAAUCAGAAAGACAGAUGAGAAAUCAGACAAUUAAAAGGUACAGGAUGUUAGAGGAUGAUCAGUGCUAUGGAAGAAAAUUAAGGAAGACAGAACAUGGUGACCGGAGAAGGCAAUGGCACCCCACUCCAAUACUCUUGCCUGGACAAUCCCAUGGACGGAGGAGCCUGGUGGGCUGCAGUCCAUGGGGUCGCUAAGAGUCGGACAGGACUGAGCAACUUCACUUUCACUUUUCACUUUCCUGCAUUGGAGAAGGAAAUGGCAACCCACUCCAGUGUUCUUGCCUGGAGAAUCCCAGGGACGGGGGAGCCUGGUGGGCUGCCGUCUAUGGGGUCGCACAGAGUGGGACACGACUGAAGCGACUUAGCAGCAGCAGCAGCAGCAGAACAUGGUGAUGGCUGCAGUUUUAGAUAGAGGAGGUCAGGGAAGAGCUCACUAAGAAGGUGGUAUUUGGAUAAAGACUUAAAAGGAGUCCUGGGGAGAUCGGCGGUGGGGGGGAGGGGGUUCCAGGCAGAGAGAACAGCCAGCGUAAAGGUCCUGAGGUGGAAACAUGCUGGGUGUUCAAAGGAUCAAUGAGCGGGCCUGUGUGGCUGGAGGGAGGGGGUGAGGGCAAAAAGAGAGGAAGGUGAGGGUAGGGAGGUAAUGGGCUAGACCAUCCUGGCCUGAUGUGCUUCGGGGAGAAUUGGUUUUUAAUCGGAGUCACCUGGGAGCAAUGGAAGGUUCUAGGCAGAGGAGGGUUUUCCCCUGACUUAUAUGUUCACAGGAACCUUCUGGCCCUGGUAAGAUUUGAGAAGGAGCCAGGAGACUGGGGAGAUGGAUUCCACAGUCAAUCCAGCUGAGAGGUGAUGGAGGCCUGGAACAGGGUGCUGGGGAGAAAGGGCCAGAUUUGAGGCACAGCCUAGGGACAGAGCCAAUAGGACACGUUAGUCUUUGAAUCCCCCUUCCCCAGCAGAACUUCUCAAAUGUCACCUCUGGAUCACAGUGCGGACGCUGCACCUUCCUCACUCCCAAGAAACAAGAGUCCAGGAAGCCACCCAGGUCCAGUCUGAGCAACAGCUGGCAGGCAGCAAUGGUGGUCCAUUCCCGAGUGUGGGGCUUCCCAGGUGGCCCAGUGGUUAAGAAUCUGCCUUGUAAUGCAGCAGACACCAGGUUCCUUCCUGGUCUGGGAAGACCCCAUAUGCUGAGGGGCAGCUAAGACGGUGUGCCGCAACCAAUGAGCCCACGUGCAGCAACUACUGAAGGCUGUGUGUCUUAGAGCCUGUGCUCCACAAGAGAAGCCACCACAAUGAGAAGCCCACGCACUGCAACGAGAGAGUACCCUUGUUGGCUGCAACUAGAAAAAGCCCUCGAGCAGCAAUGAAGACCCCGUGCAGUCAAAAACAACUAAAAAAUUUUAAUUAAUUAAUUAAUUAUUUUAUUGAAGGAUAAUUGCCUUAUAGAAUUUUGCUAUUUCUGUCAAACCUGAACAUGAAUCAGCCAUAGGUAUACAUAUAUCCCCCUCCCUUUUGAAGCUCCCUCCCAUCUCCCUCCCCAUCCCACGCCUAAAAAU